rnacentral:rRNA from 1 species
UACGGAGGGGGCUAGCGUUGUUCGGAAUUACUGGGCGUAAAGCGCGCGUAGGCGGCUUUGUAAGUUAGAGGUGAAAGCCCGGAGCUCAACUUCGGAAUUGCCUUUAAGACUGCAUCGCUUGAAUCAUGGAGAGGUCAGUGGAAUUCCGAGUGUAGAGGUGAAAUUCGUAGAUAUUCGGAAGAACACCAGUGGCGAAGGCGACUGACUGGACAUGUAUUGACGCUGAGGAGCGAAAGCAUGGGGAGCGAACAGG